rnacentral:rRNA from 1 species
AACGAACGCUGGCGGCAGGCUUAACACAUGCAAGUCGAACGGGUGUAGCAAUACAUCAGUGGCAGACGGGUGAGUAACACGUGGGAACCUUCCUAGGGGUACGGAACAACUCAGGGAAACUUGAGCUAAUACCGUAUACGUCCGUGAGGAGAAAGAUUUAUCGCCCUUAGACGGGCCCGCGUCGGAUUAGGUAGUUGGUGGGGUAACGGCCUACCAAGCCGACGAUCCGUAGCUGAUCUUAGAGGAUGAUCAGCCACACUGGGACUGAGACACGGCCCAGACUCCUACGGGAGGCGGCAGUGGGGAAUCUUGGACAAUGGGCGCAAGCCUGAUCCAGCCAUGCCGCGUGAGUGAAGAAGGCCUUAGGGUUGUAAAGCUCUUUUGGCAGGGACGAUAAUGACGGUACCUGCAGAAUAAGCCCCGGCAAACUUCGUGCCAGCCGCCGCGGUAACAC